UGGGGAAUAUUGCACAAUGGGCGCAAGCCUGAUGCAGCCAUGCCGCGUGUGUGAAGAAGGCCUUCGGUUGUAAGCACUUUCAGCGAGGAGGAAGGUGGUGGACUUAAUACGUUCAUCAAUUGACGUUACUCGCAGAAGAAGCACCGGCUAACUCCGUGCCAGCAGCCGCGGUAAUACGGAGGGUGCAAGCGUUAAUCGGAAUUACUGGGCGUAAAGCGCACGCAGGCGGUUUGUUAAGUCAGAUGUGAAAUCCCCGGGCUCAACCUGGGAACUGCAUUUGAAACUGGCAAGCUAGAGUCUCGUAGAGGGGGGUAGAAUUCCAGGUGUAGCGGUGAAAUGCGUAGAGAUCUGGAGGAAUACCGGUGGCGAAGGCGGCCCCCUGGACGAAGAC
rnacentral:rRNA from 1 species